GACGAACGCUGGCGGCGUGCUUAACACAUGCAAGUCGAACGGAAAGGCCCUGCUUUUGUGGGGUGCUCGUGUGGCGAACGCGUGUGUAACACGUGAGUAUCCUGCCCUUGACUUUGGGAUAUCUUCAGGAAACUGGGGCUAUUACCGGAUAGGAGCUCCUGCUGCAUGUUGGGGGUUGGAAAGUUUCGGCGGUUGGGUCUGGUCUCGCGGCUUAUCCGCUUGUUGGUGGGGUAGUGGCUUACCAAGGCUUUGACGGGUAGCCGGCCUGUGAGGGUGACCGGCGACAAUGGGACUAAGAGACGGCGCAGACUGCAACGGGAGGCAGCAGGGGGAAACAUGGCAGAAUGGGCGGAAGCCAGAUGCAAAAAAGCUGCGAGCGGGAUGACGGGUUUCGGGUGGAAAACCGCUUUGGAAUGUGACGAAGAGGGAGUGACGGUAAUGAGUAAAAAAGCACCGGCUAACUACGUG
rnacentral:rRNA from 1 species